rnacentral:rRNA from 1 species
CCUACGGGAGGCAGCAGUGGGGAAUAUUGGGCAAUGGACGCAAGCCUGACCCAGCAACGCCGCGUGAAUGAUGAAGGUCCUCGGAUUGUAAACUUCUUUUAUCAGGGACGAAACAAGUGACGGUACCUUAUGAAUAAGCCUCGGCUAACUACGUGCCAGCAGCCGCGGUACUACGUAGGAGGCAAGCGUUAUCCGGAUUGACUGGGGGUAAAGGGGGUGUAGGCGGUUAGGCAAGUCAGUUGUGAAAUACACAGGCUCAACCUGGGAACUGCCAUUGAAACUGUUUGUCGUGAGUGCAGGAGGGGCAGACGGAAUUCCUAGUGGAGCGGUGAAAUGCGUAGAUAUUAGGAGGAACACCAGUGGCGAAGGCGGUCUGCUGGACUGCAACUGACGCUGAGGCGCGAAAGCGUGGGGAGCAAACAGGAUUAGAUACCCGAGUAGUC